rnacentral:rRNA from 1 species
UGUGGCGGUUAUAGCGGCGAGGAUCCACCUCUUCCCAUUCCGAACAGAGAAGUUAAGCUCGCCAUCGCCGAUGGUACUGCCCCACCAGGUGGGAGAGUAGGUAGCUGCCACUU